GUCCAAUCAGAGCAAGAAACUCUCCGCUCAUAUUCGCGCUUCUCCUUUGGAGGCCAUUGACCAGAGGACUUGGAUGGUUCUAUUCAAGUUGCUCAACCGUCAUGUAUUUAAUGAUAUAAAUGGUUGCAUUUCCACUGGCAAAGAAGCAAGCGUCUCUCAUGCAACAAAAUCUGACGGGCAAGAAUUGGCAAUCAAGGCCUACAAGACUUCGGUGCUGGUGUUUAAGUCUGAUGGUUUUUAGUUUUUUGCAAGGCCCCUGCGUGGG